rnacentral:rRNA from 1 species
GACACUGGAACUGAGACACGGUCCAGACUCCUACGGGAGGCGAGCAGUGGGGAAGUUUUGGACGAAUGGGGGCAACCCUGAUCCAGCCAUGCCGCGUGAGUGAAGAAGGCCGUUCGGGUUGUAAAGCUCUUUCGGCCGGGAAGAAUCGCAUAGGCUAAUACCCUGUGUGGAUGACGGUACCGGAAUAAGAAGCACCGGCUAACUACGUGCCAGCAGCCGCGGUAAUACGUAGGGUGCGAGCGUUAAUCGGAAUUACUGGGCGUAAAGCGUGCGCAGGCGGUUUAGUAAGACAGGCGUGAAAUCCCCGGGCUCAACCUGGGAACUGCGCUUGUGACUGCUAAGCUAGAGUACGGCAGAGGGGGGUGGAAUUCCACGUGUAGCAGUGAAAUGCGUAGAGAUGUGGAGGAACACCGAUGGCGAAGGCAGCCCCCUGGGCCGAUACUGACGCUCAUGCACGAAAGCGUGGGUAGCAAACAGGAUUAGAUACCCUGGUAGUCCACGCCCUAAACGAUGUCAACUAGGUGUUGGGAG